AAUGCAAUUAGUUAUCCAGAAACAAAAGCCCAAAUCCUAAUUUUGGAGCCAAAAUCUCUCACUUACCAUUAUCAUACUCUCUCUCUCUCCUACCAAACAAACUAUUUUCAUCCAUCAAUGGCGUCCUCACUUCUACUAUCAACCCCAUUUCUCUCUCCUCAUCAACGAAACCCUAAAUCCCCAAUUUCCAAACCCUCACUUUCUCUCUCCUCAACCUCAAUUUCCCGAAAAUUCGCCCUCUCAGAAUUCAACCGCACAAUUCACUUCACUCCGAAACCUCCAUUAUCACAACGACGGCGAUUUAUCGCCGGAAAUUCCGUCGGAGAUUCCGACGAUUUUCUCAUCGGAGAAGAUUCCGCCACUUUUGAACUUAGCAAGCAGAAGAUAUCUUCUUGGGUUUACUUUACGUUGAUUUUGGGAGUUGUGUUGUUCGCGCUUAAUUUUCUUUGGAUUGAUAAUUCUACUGGUUUUGGCAAGUAUUUUAUUGAUGCUCUUGAGAGUAUUUUUCAGAGUCCCGAGGUUGUGUUGCUGAGCCUUACUGUCAUAUUUGCUGCUGUUCACAGUGGAUUGGCUAGUUUUAGGGCUGUGGGUGAGAAAAUUAUAGGAGAGCGUGCUUUCCGUGUCCUAUUUGCAGGAGUAUCUCUUCCACUAGCUGUUAGCACUGUGGUCUAUUUCAUUAACCAUAGAUAUGAUGGGAUACAAUUAUGGCAGCUUCAAGGUGUUCCUGGAGUACAUCAGCUAGUGUGGUUAUCUUCAUUCAUCUCAUUCCUUUUCCUCUAUCCGUCAACCUUUAAUUUGUUAGAAGUAGCAGCUGUUGACAAGCCGAAAUUGCAUCUUUGGGAAACAGGAAUCAUGAGAAUUACACGCCAUCCACAGAUGGUUGGACAGGUAAUCUGGUGUCUUGCUCACACAAUUUGGAUUGGGAACUCUGUGGCAGUUGCCGCCUCCCUUGGCUUGAUUGGGCACCAUUUAUUUGGCGUUUGGAAUGGGGAUAGACGGUUGGCUUUACGGCAUGGGGAUGCUUUUGAGAUGGUGAAGAAACGGACAAGUAUCAUUCCAUUUGCUGCUAUAAUUGAUGGACGGCAAAGAUUACCAAGAGACUAUUACAAAGAAUUUAUCCGGGUCCCAUAUCUGGCAGUGACUGCAGUCACCCUAGGUGCUUAUUUUGCUCACCCACUUAUGCAGUCAGCCAGUUUUCGACUCCACUGGUAGGAGCAAACGGGUUUUUAUUCAAUAAAAACUGAUAAGUUCCAUGAUGUAACCAUAAGUUCACCACCAAAGAAAGCAUCUAAAGAAAGAUUGUUGCUCACUGUAGCUGCCAAUACUUCACUCAUGCUGUCGAUACUUGGUACCACCUUCUUAAUCGCAUGAUGUUCCUUAGUGUGAAAGACUAGCUUGCACAAUGGAGAAAUGUGUAUUGGCAUGCACCUGAGUAGAUUUGCACAUGACAAUUUGUAGAAGCAUGAUGCAGCAACUGUUGGCCUCCUAUCGCAGCCUAGGGUGGCUGACAGUGAUGUUCAUCUGAUCUGACAAUGACCUGGUUGUGCAUGAGAUUACUAUCUAUCUUGUUAAGAAGUUGUUAAAAUGGAAAGACUUACCUGCAUCCAUCAACAUGAGAUUUGGCCAAGCCUAUGGAAUAUGGAAUUUUUUUACAAGGCUUGAUGUCGAUUGUGGACAAGAGAGGACCAAAAAGGUGAAACCUUCUUGCGGGCGAGUUUGCAGUUUCAGGCUGCUCAGUUCGAUGAUGGUUGUUUUGGGUUGAUAUGUUGGUUAAUGGUGCUUCUUUUCCUUUAAUUGCUUAUCUAAUGAGCUGCUGAAGUUCAAGAUGUUAACUGUAAUUAUAAGGGUAACUUAAACUAUAUUAACUAAUAAGGGUAACUUUUAAACAAAAAGUAGGGACUUUAACUCUAAUGGGUGUGACUUAACAAAACAUAUUCAACACUAAAUAUAAUAAGGGUAACUUAUCAACGAAAAUCGGUUACUUUUAACUCAGUCUCUAAUAAGUGUAACUUAGAAAAACAUAAUCAUGACUUUUAACUAUAACGAGGGUAAACAUAAUGAGGGUGAAUCCAGUUUUGAGCAUAGUGUUGUUACUAAGUUGAUUUUCUAUCCUAUAUUGUAUUGGUACAGAGUACAGACUUCAUUGAUUUGUUUUGAGAGUUGUUUCUAAGUUCUUGGUACGCAUAACUUUUUUGGGCUUAUAUGAAAAAAUAUUGCCAUCACAAAACAAUACACAUAAUACACAACAGUUACAUUCAAAUUCUUACAAAGAAAUAUAGUCAUGCUGGUAGCUGAACAAGUACUGAAAGAGUGUGGGGGAGCUACCGCGGUUAAUUAAGGUCAUGGCGAAGAUGCUUAGAAAUAAAUCAAAUGAAGAUACAUGGCUGAGAAUAUUGUCAAAGUUGCAAUCACCAUCUGAUCAUUAGCUGCAGCCCACGAAAGAAGUGUUCGAUGUUUUCAGAGUAGUAGUGUAUAAUGAAUCAGAUGACAUCCUUAAACGUGACCAUGAGAUUUGCCAAGACUAUUUGAUCGAGUAUUGGAAAGCCAAAGAUCUGAUUAGUAAUGCGCACAUGUUUCCAAGGACACGGAAAGAAGGACGAAAUUUGAAUGUAACUGGUUAUUGCUGGUAAGACCAAAUGGCAGUCAGUAUAGCAAAUCUAGAUAGUAACUGGUUAUUGCUGUAUAUACCUGCAAAUCCUGAAUGUGGUAAGGUCUCCACAUUGUUUACGAGCAAGAUCACAUCUUGAGAUACAGUGGAAUCGAAUUGCACUUGUGAUUGCUAAAGAAGUAGCUACACCGCCAAUGGAUGCAUAUAGCGGAAUUCAGAUCCUUCAUUUUAACCAUUGGUGCUCAACUGCUCAUGUUGUAAAUCAUCUUUGUCAGAUAGACAUCUCCAACUGCUCAGCUAAACGACAUCUUAAGCAUUCGGAUGGUACAGACAUUUGAUUUAAUCAAGCUUGUGCUUAAGCGAGUUUGUGCAUUAGAGAUGGUCAGAAAUGUUCUCAGCUUACUACCCAAAUGUGCUAAAUGUUAUCAGCUAAGAACAAGUAUUUACUAUCAAAAUGUGGAGACUAUCCAUUUAUGAUUACCCUAAAAUACUUGUUCUAGUUGAUGUUGAAUGACAAUAUUCUCUUACUAAAAAUAAACGGAGUCUUAUUAGAGCUAAUUUUAUAUAUCGAAGCUAAGGCAAGUACGUCUUUUGGGGUUCGAUUAGAGUCAUAAACUCGCCAAAAGGAGAAGAUGGAGUUGAAAGUGUUUGAAAAUAGAUAGUUUUCAAAUCUACACAAGAAAUUAUGAAUAAAGAAGUUGUUCAAAAACAAAGAAUUUAGAAUUCGGUGUGUCCUAAUAAUUUGAAAGCACUGACUUUAUAAAAUGAUGCAAAACAAACCAGCAAGCCAAACUAGUAUUUAUUAGAUAUAAUCGUUAUUGCUUUAUUUUAAGGAUUUUUUGUCCCAAACUACCUUUAACUUUCAAGUUUUUGCGAGAAACUACCUUAUAAAAAAAUUGUUGUCAUAAACUACCUUACUUUACAAUUUUGUUGUUGACAGCUACCUUAUGCGGUUUCCGGCGUUAACUUUUGUUUUUUCAGUUCAAAAUUGUGGGAAAAAAAAAUUACCCUUGUGGGAAUUGAGGAGGGUGAUUGUUUCAAUUUUAGUUUAAGUAGAAGAGGAAUUUAAUGGUGGAUUGGUGGUAUAAAGUGUCACAUAGAUAUGAGGGAGAGAGCGCGCGCACACCGGAAAAUGAGGAAAUUAGGGUGAGGAAAAUUGAAAAAAGGGUUUGAAGAGGUCAAGUGAUAUAAUGUGACAAUAAAAAGCGGAAAAAACAAAAGUCAACGUCGGAAAUCGGCCUAAGGUAGUUGUCAACAACAAAAUGGUAAAAGUAAGGUAGUUUGGGACAACAAUUUUUUUAUAAGGUAAUUUCUCGCAAAAACAUAAAAGUUAAAGGUAGUUUGGGACAAAAAACCCUUAUUUUAAUUAAAUUUCCUCCAAAAUGAGCCCCUUUCUUUUAUGUGUCCUAUGAGGUUGCUCCUCUUAACAACCCCAAGGCCAUGCUUCCACCAGAAUAGAGAUAAUCAAUAAGGCAAUGAAUGUAUUAUAACCUUCAUCAUUAAAGCUUGAAUCCUCGUAACCGAUGAGGAAGUUAAGUUACAAGUAGAAGAAAAAACAUUUAUGAAUUUCACUCGUUGCCUUAUCGAUCGAGCUUGCCCAGGGUGCAGGCUAACGGACGAAAGCUCUGACUAACGUUUCAAUCCCGAUCGGGUGAGUUUCAUAUUUAUUAUAUUUUAUCUUUACUCUAAUAGAGAGCCCACUAUAAACACAAUGGGCCGACCCACUUAAUUUUAACCCGAAAAAAGAGCAAAAUUGAAAUAUGUUUAGGGAGAUUGCUAGCAUAGACAAUUUGGCACGUUCUAUUCCAAGAAAUGAUUCAUCGAAAAAUUGAGUUACAAAUAAUAUGAACACAUUAAAAUCUAGUCGUACAUACAACCCUUCUUGGGAAUACUUUUUUUGACCCAACUUUUCCUUGGCUCAUUCUAGGCACAAGCCAUAAGGCCUGCUGUAUUUCAAGCUCUCUAUUUUAUUAUUUUGGGUAAUUCUUAAGUUUUCGCGUACUUAAACUUAAGGUGCGUUCUCUUCACCAUAAUCCGAGCCCGGAAUUGUUUCGAACCCGGGCUUCGGUGUCGGGUUGGUAACCAUUCAGGUAGCUUAGCUAUGAUUUAGAAACAAUAACGCCCUCCGCAAGGCGCAAACCAUUAUUUUUUAGUCGACGUUUUUCAAAUUCAUUGGACUUGUUCACAGUUGAAAGGCGUAACCCUGACAAGGAAUGGUGGUUAAAACAGAGAAGAUUACUUUUGCUACUGAGCAAAGUAGUUCAAACAAACAGGACGAUGAUUUGUUGGCAUGUGAUGUCUUUGAGUGUUCAUCUAUCGUUCAAGCUAGCUGUUUGUAAUCACUGGAUGCCAUGGAUGUUUGUAGAGUUUCUACUAACACUAAUAUCAGGAGGAUCUUGAGCCAAUCCACAGAAGGUGGCCUUGCCCGGAGCAGGGUGGUGUAGAAAAGACAUGGAGGGAAAAUCAGAAGGCUAUCUACAAUGAAAUUGAUAUUCUAAGCCUAAAAAACCAGUUUGAUACAGUUUUACCAGCUUCUGAACUGUCGCACUCAAAAUUUUGGCUGCUAUCCUUACAUACAUAAAAGAGAUGGCGUAAAGCUUCACACCUUCACUGUUUGAAGCUCAGUAAGCUUCACCUUGGGAUACCACGCGUGCCUUUAUUUUUUUUUGGGUCUUCAAUAUUGCUUUGCUUGUUAAGGAGUGUCCUAUUCUCAAUUCAUUUUCAUAUAAAUCUCAUUAGACUAAUCAUUUUAGAUAUUAUGAAGCUGUCCUUGGUCUUUUUUGUUUUGGUGUCCUCAUAUGUUUUGGAUGAUUCGUGCUGCAUGCCUGCUAUGGAGUUAAUGUUUUAUAGAUUUCAUUGGACAGAGUUCUCAAUACGUCUCUAUGACUGGUACUUUUCUGUUUUUCCUGCUAUAUGGCCCUGAUUCUUAAUGGUUUUUUGUUGCUGUAUGGCUAGAUAAAGACGUCUAUUUUGAAUUCAGGGUAAAAUAUAGCUGUCAGUUAGGGAAUAUCUCUCUGCACUUGCACCCUUGACAGUUGAUAAUAAUUGUACUUUCCUGCAACUAUGAAAAUUCUCUUAUCCUGCACCAGCUCUCUGCUAUUUUUUUUCGCAUGUUGCAUUAGUUGACAGGAAGAUGAUUCUUAGACAUCUUUAAAGUUCUAUCAUCUAUUUAAUGGGAAGGGUACAAUUACCCUCUAUAGAUAACAUUCUGCGAGAAACGGAUCCGUCUUCUCGUAACGCUUUGACUUGGAAGAUGUGAACCUCUCGGUCUCUAAUAUCUAUCUGCUCACUUGUACAGUGGACACAUGCUCUAAAAACAAUACAUGUUGUCCUUGACUAAACUUUGCCAAAACAUAUAGACAUAAUUUUUUUCCAGUCAUUUAUUUGUCUAAGAGCUUGUGUUUAUCUAGGGUGUCACUUUGAGUUUUGGUACUUCAGAGGUGUUUUUUUAAUGAUAAGGAUAAUGACCAUGAGUCCAUGACCAGACCCCUGUUUUAUACGGUUUCUUGGUCCAGUAUUUGCGGGUUAGACACUUGGGAGCAGUGGGAAAAGGAUCAGGGAUCCCUACCUCCAACUUGUUCCAAUCACCUUCAGUUGGCGAGAUUCAGACCCCAUACCGUUCAUAUGUGAGGUAAGAGUGUUAACAAGUGAACCAAACCAAAAGCUUACUGUAAUUUACAGUGAUUUGGGAUGAUGAUAUAUGUGAAACCUAAAGCUUACUGUAAUUUACCUAAAUUAGCUGUUACUUGUUUGGCAGUAAUUAUUUUUCUGCUGAUGCUUUGUUUCUACAACUCAGUUUUUUCAUCUGUUCAAUCUGAUAAGUGUUUUAUUGCCUUUUAUGUCUUUUAUGGUAGGGUACACAGGCUUCUUUGCCUCCUAGAAAUAUUGACUAGAGGCACUGAACCAUGCCAAGCCAUGCUAUUGGGUUGCUUUCAAGUUUCGUCCGUGUACGAAUCUCUGGUUGUCCUACACCGCGAUUGUGUGGCAGUAAAUUAAUCAUCUUUAACUUGUUAAAGGUCAUUAAAGAGUUUUCGAUAGAUUAAGAGCGUGUAUGACAACAACCUUGUAGGUAGAUUUUAAAGAUUUGAGCAAGUCGAAACACUACUGUCAAAAGACCAACUCAACCAAAAGCUUAAAUUGAUGGUUGAGGCCAUGUUGGCUCCGAUACCAUGUCAAAGGACCAACUCAACCAAAAGCUUAAGCUGAUGGUUGAAGCCCAGGAAUAGAUCUAUACUCUAUCAACUACUAAAGAUGAAAAUGGUGUUUGCUCAACGAUAUCGAAUUCAAUGUAGCGACUUGUUAAGAAGAAAGCUCCAAACUUUUCUUGUAAAGAAUUCUAAAUAUGUAAAGAUAUUGAUCCAGGGAAGCUAGUUGGUGAUCUAGUUUCUUCAAUCUUCCAUUUUGGAUAGAGUAUUACUGUAUUAUCCAAAAUUUGUCAUGUUCUUUUGCCAUUUUAUUGGAAGAGAUUUUGAGUUCACCUGUGA